rnacentral:lncRNA from 1 species
CUUGGCCCUGCACUUGAGCUUAGACAGAAGCACAAUGAAUAACACACUCUACUAUUUUUCUCAUCCAAGUAUAGAAUCUGGCUUCUUGUGCUUUUCCCAGAGCCUCCUUAAGGUUUGGAAGGUAAGAAGGGGCAUAGCUUGUUAUAUGGCACCCAAACUGGCAGGAGUGAUUUUCACAGGCCAAGAAAGAAAUAUCCAUGUCAAACUUUGCAGCUCAGAAGCAAUUUGGAGGAAACCCCCACGGACCGUAGUGGGUCACUCCUUGAGGAAAUGUUGCAUCACCAGCCAUCUUGAUGGUGCAGAGGACAAUGCGGUGUGGGAAAAUGUGGACAAUUCCAAUUCUGAGCUGGAAAAUCAAGUUCCGUAUGUGAAGAAAUUUUAGAAAUACUUUCGGCAAUUUACAUUGCUUAUCUUUUUUAUCAGUUCAUAACAGUGGUAUAUGAAGAUAAAAUGUCUAUAUGAGGGCAAUUCAAAAAGUUUGUGAAAGAAAUCCAUGCUAUCUUUUUAAAAGUUUCAGUAAAGAUAAUAGCACAUAUUUAUGGGCUACACUGUGUCACUUCAAUACAUGUAUAAAAUGUGUACUGAUCAAAUCAGAGUAAUCAACAUUUCCCCUUCUAUUUGUUCAUAAAAUAUGCACGAGGUUAUUGUGAACUACAGUCAUUCCACUAGGCUAGUAGCACUGGAAACUUAUCCCUUCAAUUUAACUCUGAUUUGUUACCUGAUAUCCAAACUCCCUCUAUCCGCUUUCACCACUCCCAGACACUAGUAAUCACCCAUGUUCAGACUGAGAUUUUUUUCUGUUUUUUUUUUUCAACUUCCACAUAUAAAAAAAAGGAAGACCUGCAGUAUUUGUCUUUCUGUGGCUUUAUUUCGCUUAACGUAAUAUCCUCCAGUUCCCUCCAUUCUGCUGCAAAUAACACGAUUUCAUCCUUUUACAGCUAACAUUCUGCUCUGUGUAGAUAUGCCAGAUUUUCCUUUUCUAUUCAUCUGAUGAUGGACAUCUUGGUUGAUUCCAUAUCUUGGCUAUUGUGAAUAACUGCUGCAAUAAACGUGAUGGAACAGGUAUCUGUUUGAAACA